GUAAUCCUACGGGGGGCAGCAGUGGGGAAUAUUGCACAAUGGGGGAAACCCUGAUGCAGCGACGCCGCGUGAGUGAAGAAGUAUUUCGGUAUGUAAAGCUCUAUCAGCAGGGAAGAAACCCACCCUUUGGGGUGGCUGACGGUACCUGACUAAGAAGCCCCGGCUAACUACGUGCCAGCAGCCGCGGUAAUACGUAGGGGGCAAGCGUUAUCCGGAUUUACUGGGUGUAAAGGGAGCGUAGGUGGCAAGGCAAGCCAGAUGUGAAAACCCGGGGCUCAACCCUGGGAGUGCUUUUGAAACUGUGG
rnacentral:rRNA from 1 species